rnacentral:rRNA from 1 species
ACACGUAGGGGGCGAGCGUUGUUCGGAAUCAUUGGACGUAAAGGGCGCGCAGGCGGCGAGGCAAGUCCGGUGUGAAAGUGCUCGGCUCAACCGAGUGAUGCGCUGGGAACUGCCCUGCUUGAGUACAGGAGGGGACGUCGGAAUUCCAGGUGUAGGGGUGAAAUCUGUAGAUAUCUGGAAGAACACCGGUGGCGAAGGCGGACGUCUGGCCAUGUACUGACGCUGAGGCGCGAAGGUGCGGGGAGCGAACAGGUUUAGAUACCCUGGUAGUCCGCACAGUAAACGAUGUGCACCAGGUGGCGGGGGGUAGCCCUCGGUACCGAAGCCAACGCAUUAAGUGCACCGCCUGGGGAGUAUGCUCGCAAGGGUGAAACUUAAAGGAAUUGACGGGG